GACGUAGGGCGCGAGCGUUGUCCGGAUUUAUUGGGCGUAAAGAGCUCGUAGGCGGCUUGUCGCGUCAACUGUGAAAACCCGUGGCUCAACCAUGUGGUCUGCAGUCGAUACGGGCAGGCUAGAAUUCGGUAGGGGAGACUGGAAUUCCUGGUGUAGCGGUGAAAUGCGCAGAUAUCAGGAGGAACACCGGUGGCGAAGGCGGGUCUCUGGGCCAUAACUGACGCUGAGGAGCGAAAGCGUGGGGAGCGAACAGG
rnacentral:rRNA from 1 species